UGCUUAGACAACCAGGAUGUUGGCUCAGAAGCAGCCAUUCAUUAAAAGAGUGCGUAAUAGCUCACUGGUCGAGUGACCCUGCGCCGAAAAUUCAACGGGGCUAAAAUCGUGUACCGAAGCUUGGGAUGCUCAAAUAUUCUCCAUGCUUUCAGGAAGUUGAGAAGCGGAAUCUGGCGGCGCGGAAGCGCUGCGGAAAGCCUCUUUCCCGCACAGAAGCGGAAGAGGAAGGAAAAGGUUCCGGAUCAGCGGGCGCAAAGCGCCGCGAAAUUUCACAGUAAGGUUGAAAUGGAGCGCCGAUUGAAGGUUUGGAGAAUGUUUGAGCAUGGUAGGAGAGCGUUGAAUGAGAGUUGAAGUCGGAGCGGAAGCGCCGGUGGAUUUCAUUCAAGUGAGAAUGCCGGAAUGAGUAGCGAGAAAUAUGUGAGAAUCAUAUUGGCCGAAAGUCUAAGGUU
rnacentral:ncRNA from 1 species